UGUGAUUCAUUGGCGGUAAAAAUAGUAGCCAGUUAAAUAGAGGACAGUCUGCCAUCCCCAUCCCCAUCAAAGGUAUGAUCCUGUUGCGAUCGUGUGGAUGCAAACGUUCAGACACCUAAAAGGUAGAAGUACUUCUGAAUAUUCCAAGAGUUACAUCCAAUGGUUCCCAAGCCCAGCCGCACCACAGAUUCACUUGAUGAUCUUUUAAAAAAGAUUACACUUCCCACCUCAGACCUCCUUCAUCAGAGUCUCCAGGGCUGGGUUCCAAGUACCUAACAAAACACAGCUCCAAUUUUCUGGGGAAGAGAUAAGCGAGACAUUUCGAGAACCGCUCCGAGGAGGGUGUUGUCACAUCACUGAUGGAAAUUAUGUGGAUGAUGGUUGAAGAAGACUGCAAAGGAGCCAGCUCUGGGAGCUGAGAUCAAAGGCAACGUAGAUAUACACGGCAAAUAAAUAAAUAACUAUACACACAAGCA